GCUGAAGAAGAGCAAGAUUUGCUUGACGGCAAAAUUGCAACCAGGCACUGCUUACAUGAGAUCCAGAGGCGGGCGCAGACCACUACCACUGCCGCCACUACCACCAAGGGUCCUGUGAACAAGUGCAGGAGGUGGGUCAAAAAGGACCUUGCGGGGCUUCCCUGGUGGUGCAGUGGUUAAGAAUCCGCCUGCCAAUGCAGGGGACACAGGUUCGAGCCCUGACCGGGAUGAUCCCACAUGCCACGGAGCAACUAAGUCCGUGAGCCACAACUACUGAGCCUGUGUGCCACAACUACUGAAGCCCUUGUGCCUAGAUCCCGUUCUCCACAACAAGGGAAGCCACCACAUUGAGAAGCCCGCACACCGCAACUAAGAGUAGCCCGCCCUCUCUGCAACUAGAGAAAGCCCACGCGCAGCAACGAAGACCCAACACAGCCAAAAACAAAUAAAUAAAAUAAAUUUAUUUUUUAAAAAAAGGAUCUUGCUGUGAUUUAAGUCAUAGAGUGUUCUGCCUAUAUUUUCCUCUAAGAGUUUGAUAGUGUCUGGCCUUACAUUUAGGUCUUUAAUCCAUUUUGAGCUUAUUUUUGUGUAUGGUGUUAGGGAGUGUUCUAAUCUCAUACUUUUACAUGUACUUGCCCAGUUUUCCCAGCACCACUUACUGAAGAGGCUGUCCAUUCUCCACUGUACAUUCCUGCCUCAUUUUUGAAAGAUAAGGUGACCAUAUGUGCAUGGGUUUAUCUCUGGACUUCCUAUCCUGUUCCAUUGAUCUAUAUUUCUGUUUUUGUGCCAGUACCAUACUGUCUUGAUUACUGUAGCUUUGUAGUAUAGUCUGAAGUCAGGGAGCCUGAU